CAUCUCUCGCUGCAAACCCAGGCUUUCCACCUCCCCACCGCAUCCUACCCAAGACAAGCUCAGAAUCCCACGCUUUGCCCUUCCCCCAACCCAACAUCCUUAGAUGGAAAGGGGAGUUUCAGAGAUGCUACUGGCAGCUGUUGUGUGGCUGACCAAGGAGAGCUAAGACUCAGAAGCUUACACAAGGGCAGAGGGGGUUCCCAGCCCAGAGAGGUCCAAUCUGGUGUGGGCAGGAAGGUGACAGAGGAAGUGUGGGAAAGCAGUUAGUGAUGCCUAAGGAAGAUGCUGAACAUUUUGAAAGUGUCAAGAGCAGCUGGGAAGGAGACACGAGGGUCGUAAUCAAGAUGGCAGCCCGGGAGAAGACUGCAGAGGCGUUCGAAUAAAGUGUUUUCCAAAACUUCGGACUCGUUCUCCUGGUGGCAUCUGGGAUGAUUUUAGGGUUCUUGUGGGGAAAUAGAAAGAGGAGCACAGAACUUCCUUAUGAAGUUGACAAAUGUAGCCAGCUCUCAUUAACGUAACUUUGUUUACAGUAGCUUAUUGUUACUCUUUCCUUCUAUUUUCAGCAAAGGAAACUGCCUUUCCAUUUACAACAAUAACAUAAAGUGCUCAUUUGAAACGUGCUUCUUAAAAAAAACGGGAAGUGUAGAGUAAAAAUGUCAAGGAGAUAAUGUAUUUUAAAUGUGAAAGUGUGAUUGUGCUACUCCAAUAAAUGAGCCUUUGAAAAUAAC